rnacentral:RNase_P_RNA from 1 species
GUUGGUCGAGCUAUCGCUUAAUUUUAAGAGGAAAGUCCGGACUUCAAAGAGCAGAGUGCCAGUUAACAACUGGGGGACGUGAGUCUACGGCUAGUGCAACAGAAAGUAUACCGCCUCAUUGAGGUAAGGGUGAAAUGGUGAGGUAAGAGCUCACCGCCUAAUUUAGUUUAGGGCAGUGUAAACCCCACUCGAAGCAAUGCCAAAUAGAGAUUGAAUUAUGUUGCUCGCAUACAAUCUGGGUAGGCAGCAUGAGUGUCUUGGCAACAAGGCACCUAGAUAAAUGAUGGCUAAAACAGAAUCCGGCUUAUAGACCAACUCA